rnacentral:rRNA from 1 species
UACAGAGGUCCCGAGCGUUGUUCGGAUUCACUGGGCGUAAAGGGUGCGUAGGUGGUGGGAUAAGUCGGAUGGUGAAAUCUCGGAGCUUAACUCCGAAACUGCAUUGGAAACUGUCCUGCUAGAGGGUUGGAGGGGGGACUGGAAUACUUGGUGUAGCAGUGAAAUGCGUAGAUAUCAAGUGGAACACCGGUGGCGAAGGCGAGUCCCUGGACAACACCUGACACUGAGGCACGAAAGCUAGGGGAGCAAACAGG